AAAGUGACCGUAUAUUUUGGAAUAAAAUACAGCAAAGAUUAUGGAGCAUCUUGAGAAUUUAAUGUACAAGAUUUAAUGUUCAUAAUUUGCGUCACUAAAUUUCACCGAUGAAGUUGAAAAUAAUUAUCAACGAAAUGAAAAUAAGCGGCGGUAAUCGAAUCGAGAAGCAACAGAUGCCACGUAUAACCUGUUGCCAUUUGCAUGCUUGUCCAAACAUUCGGUUUACCAAUGAUGCACUCUGACCCGAAUGAAAUUGAUGUUGGUGUCCUCUAAAACCACGGGUUCUCCGUUGCUGCUUCCGCUUUGCAACGCCUAUACAUCGGCGUCUUGCGUGCAAAUUUAUCACUGCAACCGCAGCUUAACAAGAUGAAAAAUUAAUUUCAAUCGAUACACGAUGAAGCGACUCGAUAUAUUAUUUUGUAUAUUCUCAGGUAUCUUAGGAAAAAGGUAACGCGUGCGGCGAAAUCCAAAAUCCAAAAUUCCAAUUUGUUUAAAUGUAUUUUAACGCUAAAUGAUAAAUAAACAGUAUCAGAAUAACGAUAAGUUACGUAA